GACCUUGAAGAUCAUCUAAUUUCAACUCCCCUGCCAUAGGCAGGGACACCUUACACUAAACCAGGUUGUUCAAAGCCUCAUCCAGUCUGGCCUGGAACAUUUUCAGGAAGGGGAAAUACACAGCUUCUCUGGGCAA